UGCGGGCGGGGCGGCGGGGCCGGGGCAGUCCCGGGACCGGACCUUCUCCCGCGUCCGCUGCAGGGCAUGGGCGCCGCGGCUCCGCGCUGUGCUGCCGCGCCCCGGCCCCAUGAGCCCUCGCCGGAGCGAGUGAGUGCGGGGGGCGCCCGGGUGGGUGCCGGCGGCCCGGCCUCGGGAGGGAGGAUGUGGUGAGAGGAUGGGGCUGUGUCCCGCGGGGGCUCGCCAUGGCCAGGGAGGACUCGGUGAAGUGCCUGCGCUGCCUGCUCUACGCCCUCAACCUGCUCUUCUGGGUGAGUUUCAGAGGAAUCCUGUGACCCGAGGUGAACUCCAAAAGCAGUCUACUGUGCCCAGGCCUUGCCCGGAGUCUUUUUUCUACAUUCAGUGGCCAGAUCCUAACUGGUAGGCAAGGCCCAUUUCUUUUGUUUUGAGGAUUUCAGUCAAAGCUGUAUUUAUACCAGCAGGGUUUCUUGCUCUCCAGCACAGGUGGAUGUGAUCAACACUUGUUCCUUAAACUUUCAGAGCUCUGAAGAAAAAGCAAGUUGGAUAUUACUGAGAAUCCUCAUUCACUUGCACCAAAUGCAAUCUCUUUCACCUGAAUAGUUGAGAUUUGUGCAGGAUAAGGGUAAGAUGGCAAAAGGCGUAACAUCCUACACCUGUUCACAAUGUCUUACUCCUGAAGUGCUGUAGAUUUGAAUGGUGCAGAGAUAAUACAUGGACUGGGACCAAGCCUAGUUUAUAUUAAGAGUUUUUUUCCACCUGCACUGAGCUCUGGGGUCCUCAACAGGAGAUUGACCUGUUGGAGUGAGUCCCAAAGAGGGCCACC
rnacentral:lncRNA from 1 species